rnacentral:rRNA from 1 species
CUUGACGUUACCCGCAGAAGAAGCACCGGCUAACUCCGUGCCAGCAGCCGCGGUAAUACGGAGGGUGCAAGCGUUAAUCGGAAUUACUGGGCGUAAAGCGCACGCAGGCGGUCCAUUAAGUUGGAUGUGAAAUCCCCGGGCUUAACCCGGGAACGGCAUCCAAGACUGGUGGGCUAGAGUCUCGUAGAGGGGGGUAGAAUUCCACGUGUAGCGGUGAAAUGCGUAGAGAUGUGGAGGAAUACCGGUGGCGAAGGCGGCCCCCUGGACGAAGACUGACGCUCAGGUGCGAAAGCGUGGG